rnacentral:rRNA from 1 species
CUGGCGUUACGGGUGAGUAACGCGUGUGAAACGUGCCCUUCUCUCCUGAAUAACCCUGGGAGCUGGUACUAAUACCGUAUACGCCCCUUGGGGGAAAGAUUUUAUCGAAAGGGAUCGGCCCGCGUUGCAUUACGGGUUUGGUGGGGUCUCGGCCUACCAAGCCUUGAUCCAUAGCUGGGGCCUAGGAUGAUCAGCCACGCUGGGACUGCUGCGCGGCCGACACUCCUACGGGAGGCUGAAAUGGGGAAUCUACUCCUAUGGGAGGAACCCUGAUCUAAUAUUGCCGCGUGAGUGAUGAAGGCCUUAGGGUUGUAAAGCUCUUUCAUCAGGGCCUAUAAUGUGUGUACCUCUUUAAGAAGCCCCGGCUAACUCCGGGCCAGCUACCUGCGUAAUACGGAGGGGGCUAGCGUUGUUCGGAAUUACUGGGCGUAAAGCGCACGUAAGCGGACCCGGAAUUGGGGGUGAAAUCCCGGGGCUCAACCUCGGAACUGCCUUCUGACUAUUGCUCUGGAGUUCUAGAGAGGUGAGUGGAAUUCCGAGUGUACUAGGUGAAAUUCAUAGAAAACUGGAAGAACUGCAGUGGCGAAGGCGUGUCACUGGCUCGAUACUGACGCUGAUGUGCGAAAGCGUGCUCUGCACACAUGAUGACACUCACUGGUAAUCCACUGCGUAGCCGAUG